UCGCUAUGGGGCAGGGAAGUAUGGGGGUCGGGGCUCUGGGGCACAGGGCUAGGGGCACGAGCUUUGGGGCACAGAGCUAUGGGGGCUCGGAGCUAUGGGGCACAGGUAUGGGGCUCUGUCUAUGGGCACGCUAUUGGGGCACGGCGAUGGGGCACAGAGCUAU
rnacentral:lncRNA from 1 species